GACGAACGCUGGCGGCGUGCUUAACACAUGCAAGUCGAACGGAAAGGCCCUGCUUUUGUGGGGUGCUCGAGUGGCGAACGGGUGAGUAACACGUGAGUAACCUGCCCUUGACUUUGGGAUAACUUCAGGAAACUGGGGCUAAUACCGGAUAGGAGCUCCUGCUGCAUGGUGGGGGUUGGAAAGUUUCGGCGGUUGGGGAUGGACUCGCGGCUUAUCAGCUUGUUGGUGGGGUAGUGGCUUACCAAGGCUUUGACGGGUAGCCGGCCUGAGAGGGUGACCGGCCACAUUGGGACUGAGAUACGGCCCAGACUCCUACGGGAGGCAGCAGUGGGGAAUAUUGCACAAUGGGCGGAAGCCUGAUGCAGCAACGCCGCGUGCGGGAUGACGGCCUUCGGGUUGUAAACCGCUUUCGCCUGUGACGAAGCGUGAGUAACGGUAAUGGGUAAAGAAGCACCGGCUAACUGCGUG
rnacentral:rRNA from 1 species